rnacentral:misc_RNA from 1 species
UCCGGUUUGUCACCGGCAGUCUCCCUAGAGUGCCCUUGCGUAGCAACUAGGGACAAGGGUUGCGCUCGUUGCGGGACUUAACCCAACAUCUCACGACACGAGCUGACGACAGCCAUGCAGCACCUGUGCACGCUUCCCUUGCGGGAUCGUUACCCUUUCAGGCUUCUACCACGUGCAUGUCAAGGCCAGGUAAGGUUCUUCGCGUUGCAUCGAAUUAAGCCACAUACUCCACCGCUUGUGCAGGCCCCCGUCAAUUUCUUUGAGUUUUAAUCUUGCGACCGUACUCCCCAGGCGGCACGUUUAGCGCGUUAGCUUCGCCACAAAAGGGGUCGAUUCCUCUUACAGCAAACGUGCACCGUUUACAGCUAGGACUAC